AGUGAACGCUGGCGGUAGGCCUAACACAUGCAAGUCGAACGGCAGCACAGUAAGAGUUUGCUCUUACGGGUGGCGAGUGGCGGACGGGUGAGGAAUACAUCGGAAUCUACUUUUUCGUGGGGGAUAACGUAGGGAAACUUACGCUAAUACCGCAUACGACCUACGGGUGAAAGCAGGGGAUCUUCGGACCUUGCGCGAUUGAAUGAGCCGAUGUCGGAUUAGCUAGUUGGCGGGGUAAAGGCCCACCAAGGCGACGAUCCGUAGCUGGUCUGAGAGGAUGAUCAGCCACACUGGAACUGAGACACGGUCCAUACUCCUACGGGAGGCAGCAGUGGGGAAUAUUGGACAACGGGCGCAAGCCUGAUCCAGCCAUACCGCGUGGGUGAAGAAGGCCUUCGGGUUGUAAAGCCCUUUUGUUGGGAAAGAAAAGCAGCAGGUUAAUACCCCGCUGUUCUGACGGUACCCAAAGAAUAAGCACCGGCUAACUUCGUG
rnacentral:rRNA from 1 species